rnacentral:rRNA from 1 species
GGAACGCGAAGAACCUUACCUACCCUUGACAUGUCAGGAAUCCCGUAGAGAUAUGGGAGUGCCGCAAGGAACCUGAACACAGGUGCUGCAUGGCUGUCGUCAGCUCGUGUCGUGAGAUGUUGGGUUAAGUCCCGCAACGAGCGCAACCCUUGUCAUUAGUUGCCAUCAUUUAGUUGGGCACUCUAAUGAGACUGCCGGUGACAAACCGGAGGAAGGUGGGGAUGACGUCAAGUCCUCAUGGCCCUUAUGGGUAGGGCUUCACACGUCAUACAAUGGUCGGUACAGAGGGUUGCCAAGCCGCGAGGUGGAGCCAAUCCCAGAAAGCCGAUCGUAGUCCGGAUCGUAGUCUGCAACUCGACUACGUGAAGUCGGAAUCGCUAGUAAUCGCGGAUCAGAAUGCCGCGGUGAAUACGUUCCCCGGGUCUGUACACACCG